rnacentral:ncRNA from 1 species
GUAAAGACAGUGAUGAGGAAUAGUAAAUUUGUUUUUCUUUUUAGAGAGCUAGCGGUUGGUGGAAGCUAGCAAGAAAGAAAAUUGAACUCGCCUGCUGAGUCUGCUCGCGUGAAAUCCACGUGCGCCGUUCCUUCCGCGUUAAGGAAGCUUGAGCCGAGUGUGAUCACUAAUUUGGGUGGUACCGCGGGAGAUAAAGAACUCUCUCGUCCCUUUC